rnacentral:snRNA from 1 species
ACUCAUACCUUGCAGGGGAAAUACCAUGUCAUAAAAGUGGUUUUCCCAGGGGGAGAGGCUCAUCCAUUGCACUUUGGGUGUGCUACUGAUCCCUGUGAUUUCCCCAAAUGUGGGGAAGUCAACUGCAUAAUUUGUGUUAGUGGGGGAUUGCACUUAUGAUUUCCCUGG